AUGAUGACAGUUCAGAAUAUUGUUGUUGUGAUGGGGGUGUUGGCAUGUUUAGUCCAAUGCUUCCUGAUUUGUUAUAAUAUAUUGUUUAUAGAUAUCCCAUAUAUGUUAUACUUUAUUAUGAACAUUUAUGGAAAUAUAAAAUGGCUGAAAAUGGAACUGGACCGGGUAAUAUCCUACCUCCCAGUGAUGAUUGUGUUAUUAUACAUAAUGAUAAAGAUCUAUUAUAGUGGCAAACAGAUUUUCUUCAAAAUACUAGGCAAAAGGGCUGUAGGAAAGAAUGACAAUGAGUUAAGAGUACUGGUGCUGACAAUGAAAGAAACAAUGGAAAAGAUGCAAUUAAAACUAGAUAAGCUGACUGGGGAAACUGAGGCAUCAAAGAAUAAAGUGGCAGAACAAAAAGAUAAUGAUACCCAACCAAAGCCAAAUGAAGACCAGGAUAUUAAAGAACCAAACACUGCUGCAGCUUCCUUGCUCCCAUUGUGUGAUUUGACUUACAUUCAGCCAGAAGCAGGGAUAAACCAUGUAAAAACCCACAAGCCUUUUAACACUUCAGAUUUAGACCACCUGCGCCAACGCAUGCCAAGGUAUUUUGAUGAACCAAUGAAAUGCGUAAAGGAGUUUAAGAGAGCCAUAAAGCUUUAUGAUCCAAGCUUUGAAGACACUGAAUUGUUGCUCUCUGAACUUUUUACUAAACAGGAGAAGGAGCAAUUUGUUCAGGAAACCAGAAAUGAUCCAAAUUUGACAUCAUGGCCGUCUGACACACAGCAUUUAGAAUUGAGUAAUAUUGAGAACCUGAGAUUCUUAGGCCAGGCAAGACAAUCAAUCCUAGAGGCAAUGAAAAUCCAUGCCAAAAAACCAGAUAACUGGGGAAAGUUUGAAAAAUUGAAACAGGAGCCAGGGGAAAAUCCUUCCACAUUCCUUGAUAGAGUGAUAGAGAUGGCUGAAAAUCUUUUAGGUUUUGUAGAUUUAUCAGAGCAAAACCUAGAACAUAUCAGGAGACAAUUUGUGAAAGGAAGUUGUCUACCUGUUAGGAAUUAUUUCAGGCUGGAGUGUCCUAGCUGGGAAUCAAUGGGACUAGAGGAUCUCAGAAAAACAGCAGUCUAUGUUUUUUCUGGAGAAAAGGAAAAGGGAUCUGAUGAUAAGGAUGAGUUGGUGCAAGAGUUAAGGAACCAGUUAAAAGAAGCAAACAGGAAAUUGAAAGAAAAAGAGAUAGAGGAUGUAAAAACCAUGGAGACAUUGAAAACAUCCAGGCCUAGGCAAGAGUAUGCACCAAGAAAGCAAAGAACAAAUCAAAUGAGAUGUUUCCUGUGCAACAUGCCAGGGCAUUUUUUGAGAGAAUGCCGAUUUAGAUCCCAGCUAAAUAAUAAUUAUAACAACAAUUCUUACUCUAGCAACAGAAAUGCAUCUGGAGGUUGGAGGCAGAGUAGGUCGACCUAUCAAAAUUAUAAGCAAAGUAACAGGCAGGAACAGGGGCAAUGUUGUUCCCAUAUUUGUAACCAAUCAAUGAGUCAAGCUCCCAACUUGGGGACAAUGCAAGAAUACAUAAAGGCAGGGGCUCGUCCUAAGUACUCUACCAUAGUUUCAGACGAUACAAAAGCUUAA
rnacentral:lncRNA from 1 species